rnacentral:rRNA from 1 species
UAAGAAGUAAUUUAGAAAUCAAAAUUAUUAAUAGUUAUGUUCUUUAAAAUUAAAGAUUUUGGCGGUAUUUUAGUCUUUUCAGAGGAACCUGUUCUAUAAUUGAUAAUCCACGAUUAAUUUUACUUUAUUUUAAAAUUUGUAUAUCAUCGUUAUGGAAUAUUUUAAUAGAAUUUAAAUAUUCAAUAAAUUAAAUUUUAAUAUUAAAUCAGAUCAAGGUGCAGUUUAUAUUAAAGUAGAAAUGGGUUACAUUAUAUUUAUAUAUGGAUAAUUAAAUUGAAAAUUUAAUUUGAAAAUGGAUUUGAAAGUAAUUAAUUUUAUAUAUUAAUAAUGAUUUAAGCUCUAAAAUAUGU